CGGCGACUCCCCCGCGGCGGGCGGCGGCGACUCCACGGUACCUAGGCCGCUCCCGUUUACAGCAAUUGGUUCAAUGGUGUGGCCACGAGUUUGACGGUCUCCUAGUGUUUGAUGAGUGCCACAAGGCCAAAAAUCUGAUUCCUGAUGCAGGGAGCCAGCCCACUCGCACGGGAAAAGCAGUUCUUGAGAUCCAGGUCUUUAAGACGUGUCAUACGGUUUUGCAACCCUUGCAACUGAGUUCAAUAGAAGCAUCAGUGGUUGAGG